rnacentral:rRNA from 1 species
GAUGAACGCUAGCUACAGGCUUAACACAUGCAAGUCGAGGGGCAGCGCAGUGUAGCAAUACAUGGGCGGCGACCGGCGCACGGGUGCGUAACGCGUAUCCAACCUUCCCGUUACUCAGGGAUAGCCUUCCGAAAGGGAGAUUAAUACCUGAUGGUGUUUGAAUUCCGCAUGUUAUUCAAACUAAAGAUUUAUCGGUAACGGAUGGGGAUGCGUGACAUUAGAUAGUAGGCGGGGUAACGGCCCACCUAGUCUACGAUGUCUAGGGGUUCUGAGAGGAAGGUCCCCCACACUGGAACUGAGACACGGUCCAGACUCCUACGGGAGGCAGCAGUGAGGAAUAUUGCACAAUGGGGGAAACCCUGAUGCAGCAACGCCGCGUGAAGGAAGACGGUCUUCGGAUUGUAAACUUUUGUUCUUAGUGAAGAAUUAUGACGGUAGCUAAGGAGAAAGCCACGGCUAACUACGUG